GACGAACGCUGGCGGCGUGCCUAAUACAUGCAAGUAGAACGCUGAAGAGAGGAGCUUGCUCUUCUUGGAUGAGUUGCGAACGGGUGAGUAACGCGUAGGUAACCUGCCUUGUAGCGGGGGAUAACUAUUGGAAACGAUAGCUAAUACCGCAUAACAAUGGAUGACACAUGUCAUUUAUUUGAAAGGGGCAAUUGCUCCACUACAAGAUGGACCUGCGUUGUAUUAGCUAGUAGGUGAGGUAACGGCUCACCUAGGCGACGAUACAUAGCCGACCUGAGAGGGUGAUCGGCCACACUGGGACUGAGACACGGCCCAGACUCCUACGGGAGGCAGCAGUAGGGAAUCUUCGGCAAUAGGGGCAACCCUGACCGAGCAACGCCGCGUGAGUGAAGAAGGUUGUCGGAUCGUAAAGCUCUGUUGUAAGUCAAGAACGAGUGUGAGAGUGGAAAGUUCACACUGUGACGGUAGCUUACCAGAAAGGGACGGCUAACUACGUG
rnacentral:rRNA from 1 species